ensembl:lncRNA
CCCGGAACACGCACCAAGUGACCCCGUUACAACCUUAGCGUGCGGCCGCGGGUCCAGACAGGAGACAGAAGGCAUGCGUGAUUUCAGCAGAAUGUAGUGUGGAGGUGUCGAAGGAUUGCUGCCUGGGGGUAAGGUCGCUUACCUCUGGUUUCUUCCACUUGGGGAAAGUAGAAGUGCAAUGACCCCCCCCACAGAGGCUCUGACCUCUGAGGAGGAACCGCAGCCCUGCCCCACGGGUGUCCCAGAGGCAUGUACAGUGUCGCUGGUUCUGCCAGGGCCGGGAAAUCUGCAGUCCUUACCAGCCGUGGGAUGGGAAGGAACCACCAUGGCCAGAGGCAGAAGCAGCAAACACCUGCAGCCCCACAGCCUCCCUCGAGCGCCCUCUACAGGCACAGCGUCCCAGGGAGUGGCUGGUGUGGUUGGCAGAGCCUCACAGAGCGCUGGGAGCCCCCUGGUUUGUAACUGGCGCCGUCCUCUUUGCGUUCUUCAGCCACCAUACACACCCGCCACACCCCUACCAAACGCAAAACCAAAAACCUUUGUGUUUUGAUUUACAAAGCCUCGUACGGCGAAGAGCCUUCACGCGCAUGAAGAGUCUCUCAUCCUUGCCCCAAAACGAGGAGCUGCCAGAGCCCACGGCACCUGGUACCCAGCUCUGGGAGGGGGUCACCCGACACCUUGGGGCUACGCCCUGUGCUUCCCAAAUCCAGUCAUGGGCUGUACGAGUUCCCUACGGCCACUGUGAAAAAUGACCACACGCUUAGGUGGCUUCAAACCAGACAGAUUUAGAGCUUGCAGACGUCUGACAAGGCUCGCGCUGGGCUCCGCUCAGCAGGACUGUGUUCCUUCCAGAGGCUCCAGGGGGGAAUUUAUCUCCCUGCCUUUUGCAGUUUCUAGAGGCCGCCCCCGUUCUUGGCUCAUGGGCCCUUCCUGCAGCUUUAGAGCCAGAACUGUUGCAUCUUCCUCUCCAUUCUUUUUUUUCAGAAUCCCCCAAAUCCUGUCGAGUCUGAUGCAGCAAGAUGACCAGUAAGCCCAAAGCAGUAAAUUGCUGUCCCUGCAGCUGUGCAGGUCUAUCUUUCCCAGGAGAGCAUAAGCCUUCAGGGAACCAGCGCUGUGUCUGUGUCACCCAGGGGGCCGUCCUGAUUAAAUCCAAGCAGUGCCCGAAACCGGCAUAUCCAAGAUGAGGGGAUGUUUUUCAGUGGGAUUCCUGUCUGGGAUAACGUGGUCAGAAGGUUAACACACCUUUGGUUGAGCAAUGAUCAAGCAUUCACACCCUAGUCUGAAUUAGCUCAUAAAGUCUCUAUUAAAAGUAGACUGGGGAGUUUCCAUUGUGGCUCAGUGGUUAACGAAUCCAACUAGGAACAAUGAGGUUGCAGGUUUGAUCCCUGGCCUUGCUCAGUGGGUUAAGGAUCUGGCGUUGCCGUGAGCUGUGGUGUAGGUUGCAGACGCACCUCGGAUCCCGCAUUGCUGUGGUGUAGGCUGGUGGCUACAGCUCCGAUUAGACCCCUAGCCUGGGAACCUCCAUAUGCCACGGGUGCAAAAAGACCAAA